UCUAGCGGUUUCUUGCCCUCCCCUCGCUGCUCCUUUCCCACCCAGCCCCAGUGCCACCUUCACUCACGGUGGUGAGCAUUCUAUCACGUGAGUAGCGCCAUUAAAGUCAAGGGGAUGGGUUGUGUGAGUCCCCACCGACAUGAGUAAGGCGUGGAGCUAUCCAGCCCUGCUGCUGGCUCUGUCCUCAACUAGUGCGGGGAGGAGGUGAAACGUGUGGAAAUGCUCCACAGUAAGCAGCCUGCACAUGGCCAGUGGGCAGAUGCCCUGAAGACUUCUAGUGUACCGGAGACAGGCAGAGACAGCAGAGUCCUCCGCUGCCAGUCUAGGCACAAGACAAGGUUACAAGAGCAAUUCCAAGCCAGCCGUGCCCUGGAGUUGGGAGCCAGUCACCAGGCAAGAUCCAUGCUGGGACAGCCACCCUUCAGGUACUGUUUGAAACAGGUAAGCUCCGUGGUGACAGCCAAUUCUAGUUCACAAGAGAACAUGGGAGGCCUCUUCCACAGGACGCCAAAGACCAGCCCAAUCGGCAGCAUGGAUGGGUGGGAGACGCAUGCCCACAACAACAACUAUAUUGGCAGACGAAUACUACCACAUCCAGGCAAAGUGAGCCCAAGGCAGCUCCCAGCCAGAUUCCGCCACCCCCACAGGCAGCAAUGAGCAGCAGCCAGAUCCUACUCAGGAGACACAGCAAACCAAAGAGUCUGUGUCCAAAGGCUACAAAGGAAGGGGCAGAUGUGGGCAGAUACUGAUGCCAUGACAGUCUCAGCAGCCAUUGGGAGCUUGAUAGAAUGCUACACGGUGAUAGAGGAGAGCCGCUCCCCCACCUCCUACUGAGGAGAACUGGGCAGGGGUGGAUUAUUCAUUUCCCUGUGAAACAUUUAAAUGAAAAUUAAUAUUUUUUUGUUUUCAGCUCCAUUUUUCUUUUUUUUCCAGGUUUUCAUCAAAAAAACCCAAAUCUUAGAUAGAAAUUUAUUUUUUUUCCCCACAAAAACUUCCAUUUCACAAGAAAGCCAUUUUCCAUCAAAAACAAAAGGACAAUAACAAAAACCCAAACAAGCAAAACAAAGUUUUGGUGAGAAAUUCUCACCCAGCUCUACCUCUGACAGCAUGUGAUUGAUACAAUGGUUUUCUGGUGGGGCUGCGUUAUCAUAGCUAGACCCGCCAGUGAUGGGGUUUGUACCCCACACAGGCCCUGAAAGGAUUCCUGAGAGGCCAAUUAACAAACCUGGCAGCACCUGUGAGAGAGAGUGAAAGCCAGGCUUAAUUGAUAAUGAAGCUCAGCUGAGGAGGGGCUGGGUAGUGAUUAUAAAACCAGGAAGUUUGUAGCAGAAAGGGGUUGCAGGGAGGGACUCUGUAGUCACUCUUUCAGGGCUAGAUGAGGUAGGAAGUGGUCCAGGGAGGCAGCAGGGCAUAGACCAUGGCUGACAUCUCUGGGAUCCCUGGGCUGGAACACAGAGCAGUGGGAGGUUCCAAGGAAGGUGGGGUGAAACCUGAUGAGGUAAGGGUUUAAGAACCAUAGAGCCCAGACAGACAGAAGACCUGCUGUAAGAUCACUGGACUACAACUUGGUUGGUCUCUGUUACUCUGGAAGAGGUAGACUAAAGCCUGAUCUGGCUGGAAGCCCAAGUUUUGGAAAGAGAAACCACCACAUUGAUGGAGCGACCGUUGGCGGGGGGUGCCAUAUGGGGAGAUAGCUGCUACACCAUGCCUGGCCACAAGGAGGCAUUCCUGUGGUGAGUGAACCCCCUUACACUGCCAUCCUGCCAUAAAUGGAGAAUAAGGGAGUGUGACAGCAAAUAACGGUAACCCAUAGAUGGAAGAAUCAGGGCAGUAAGGGUGCCAUGCUGUGGACAGUCCAGUGGGUGAGGCUUCUAAACAAGGCCAUGCACGCUCCAUUCUCUAAUGCAGAGACAUGUAUGCAGAGAGCACAGAAACAAGGCAGCUUAGCACACGGUCGGGCACAUUGUCCCUCAGCGAUGGUGGCCCAGAUGUCAGCAGAUACAGACACAUGCACAGUUCCCUAGAGCAGUGAAGCAGAAAAACCAGCCCCAGUUUGGGACAUUCUGAGCAGGGAGAUGCUUCACACUCAGUGAAGAUGAACAAGAAGAAGUAGAAUGACCCAUGCCUAGAGGAUUGCCAACAGUCCGGAAGCCACAUGGUCAGCUGAUAUAAAUUGGCAUAGCUCCACUGGUCAAUGGGGUUAUGAUGAUUCCAUCAACUGAGAAUCUGGGCCGGAUCUGCCUAGGUAUUCUCACAACCCCCAGCUCCGUAGUAUCUGAGCACCGCAGGCUGGACAUCACAGCCAUCUAGUCAUGAGGCACUAACUUAUGAGAACUGAGCGAGGGCAUCCAAAGGCUUUAUAGAAAAACCUGUGCUUAGUUGGAGCUCAAUCCAUUCAGAAAUGCUCUGGAUUGGUGUAUCAGACUCCUCAGCAAAGGGGAUUGUACCGCACCAGCAAUGUCAAAUGCUAUUAUCCUGCAUGAAAGUAGGCAUGCAAUGGGGACAUUUGAAUCGAGCCCUUGUUCAACCUGCAAAUACGCUAAAGCUACGCUGGUUUUAUGGGCUCACUAUACAGACUUGAGAUACCAUUACACAAAUGGCAUUUUACUUUUAUUCUCCACCGUCGGGAAAGCCCACUCAUCGCUGCAUUACUGGCAUUAUUCGUUUACCAUCAAGGCUAUUUUCUUCUCUGGUGGAAAAAGCCAAACAGAUGGUGUCCCUCUCCUUUCUCCACCACAGCAGGAGAGAACAAGAGAGGUGAAAAUGAGACAUGGAAGGGACUAUGAGGAGCUUGGCAUGUGACACAAUGAGCUGUUGCAGAGGGCCAUUUAUGGAGCUAUGUUCAUAUCAGGGCUGGGUAAUGCAUUAAGUGAAUUGGGGGGUCUAUCAUUUGAGGCUGGGCUUUGCACAAAGGGAAUUAGGCACUGCAGUCCCAUUGAUUAAGGCUUCUUUGAAAAUCCCAGCUUAGUACCAUUGGAACACAUGGCAAAAUGACUACACAAUCUGGGACCAUUUUUUCAACAGCUCUCCUCCGGAGACAGCCAAGCCCCAACAUCUCUGCUUUCUGGAACAAGUAGCCGUUCCACCAUGGUCUGCUGACCGGCCCUGCUGUAUAUUGGCACACACAGUUGCUGGAACUGGGCCAACUUCUAUCCAGCAUCUUUUCUUAAACAGCCCACUCCUGGGGAGCCUGAAGACUCGCAGAUGCCAGACCCUGGCAGCCUCAGGCAGGUCAGAACUGGAGUUCCCAGGCCAAAUUGCAGCUCUGGCUCUCCAAAUGUAGGAUGCUUGAGAGAUAUUGAAUUGGAAUGACUAACAUGACAUGGAAUAGGAGAUAACUGCAUUGACAGCAUUGGAUCUUAGCAUUAUAUUCAUAUUUGUAUUGUGGCAGCACCCCUCAGCUCCAGUCAGGGAUCGGGGCUCCCACUGUGCUGGGUGCUGUCUGCACAGACAAACAGAUACAGGGACCCUAAGAUAUCAGCAAUACAGGUAGGAUCACGAGUAUAAUUUGCAAUGGUUGCUAUAUAACCAUUAUAGGGAUCUAGGCCUGGAUUAGUGGUGGGUUGGGUUUGGCAGGUUAAGAUGGUCGUGCAUUGACAAAUCUGUGUGUGCAAAGCUCCCAUCACACCUAUCCACAGCAUCAGCCCUUCCUUCUCACAAGUAUUUUAUCCACCCGCAGAUUGUUUUUAAGACAGAUAAAUCAUACCAGAGGUAUUAUCUGCUUGUCGUAUUUUCCUUCAGACUAUGUAUUCAUUGUCACUUGUCAUUGUUUCCUAGUGUUCUGCAUCAGGAUAGAUUGUUUUCUGGGUUGGAGAGAUGUCAGCUAAUGUAGAUUGACAAUCUAGGGGUUCUCACAACAAAAUUUUUGGCAGCCUCAGAGCACGGCCACCAACUCUUGCUGGUGGCCACUCUGAGAAUUUUUCCUAAAAUACGUAAUUAACUUUAGGAAAAAACAAUCAAUAUGCACAUAGACAAGUCCAGGUCAUUGUAAUUUAUUGAUAUCAAGUAUUUUUUGC